rnacentral:rRNA from 1 species
CGUAGGAUCCGAGCGUUGUCCGGAUUUACUGGGUGUAAAGGGUGCGCAGGCGGACUGGUAAGUCAGAGGUGAAAUCUCGUCGCUCAACGACGAAACUGCCUUUGAUACUAUCAGUCUUGAAUCCGGUAGAGAUCUGUGGAAUUCCGAGUGUAGCAGUGAAAUGUGUAGAUAUUCGGAAGAACACCAGUGGCGAAGGCAGCAGAUUGGGCCGGUAUUGACGCUCAGGCACGAAAGCAUGGGGAUCAAACAGGAUUAGAGACCCUGGUAGUCCAUGCCCUAAACGAUGUUCACUUGAUGUCUGCCCUCAGGGUAGGUGUCGAAGCUAACGCGAUAAGUGAACCACCUGGGGAGUACGCUCGCAAGGCUA